CCGGCCGAAGAGGAGGAGGAGGUGGAUUCUAGGACCCAGAACCUCAUCUUGGGGAGCAGGAUGGUCUGUGCCCCCCAGGUGGUCAUCGACCCUGGGGCAGAGGGCCCUGACCAGGGCAUGGAAGAAAGGAGGAGGAGGGCCAGGAGCCACAGGAGCCCAGAGGAAGCAUGCCGCGCAGCCAAGACCCCCGAGCUGUCCCAGCGGACCGGUCGCUGGUGUCAUUCGGGGAGGCAACAACAUCCUCACCAACUGCGCAUGCAGGGUGCACCACACCACAGGGGACAUCCUCCCACACCCGAGGACUCCACAGGCCCACCCGUGCAGUGAAGGGGUACCAGCAGGAGUACUUGGGGGCACUGCGAGCCCUGCACCGCACCCUCCGCACUGGGUGCAGGAAGACAUGCAGCUCCAGCAGGAGCAGCUUGCCCAGGGUAGCUUGUAUCUUAACUCAUACACUUUUAUUCAAUAAGGCCAAUUUAAUAAUCCACAUAAGACCAUUGCAGUCCAGAAAAUUUUACACCACCAGAGGGAGACAGGAGACAACUUUUCAGAUAAAAUACUGGCUGUUAAAUGUUUGUUACUACUAACAGCCAUACCACUGCCAAGCGUUCCAUAAAAACAAAUCUUUUUUUUUUCCAGAUUUUACUAAUCAGCUAUUUCACUAACAGUAUAAAGUAUAUCACAAUAACAUUAGGAGUCCGAGAUAAAUCUCGCAGGACAAGAAUAUUCAGAGUUUAGAAUAGCUUUCUUCUGAGGUGUUUCAGAAGAUGGGGUUGCUCUUAAAAACUCUUAACUUUUCCAUGAAAAUAGGAUCUAAGGUCUUUUUUUUUUAAAAAAAAUAGGGAGACUAAUGUUAAGUUCCUAAAUCCACAGUUGGGUACUUAAGUGUGAGGCAUGAUUUUCAGAUGUACACAAUAAUUAGUAGCUCCCACUGGAACCCCAGAGUGCCUGAGGUAUCUUUUUCCACACUUCUCAAAUAAGGAGCAUUGACCCCCUGAAGAUCUUGGGCUAGGACAUUUGGAGAAGUCACCUUCAGCCCCCAAAGACAGGACAAGGGUUCAUGUGGCCCGAGGAUGAAGAGUGGCUAGGCCAAUGAGUUUCAUCUUCAAUAUGUCUUUGUUAAACUGGAGGGCUAUUGGGGGUCUGUGGAAGUCAGGAGAGACUGAAAAUGAAGUUAACUUUCUCCCCUUGCACAUUCAAAUUAAUUUCAUUCUUAGGGCUUGUUUCCACUAAGCUGGGGAUUAAUGCUGCAGCAAUCGAUCCAACAGCCAUUGAUUUAUCACAUCUCAGAAUGGUCUGAUGUUAUAUUAUUAAAGUAAGAAAUCUUCUGAUUUCUGUCUUGAACAUUAAUGCAUCUUACAUUUGCUUCAAUUUAAUAUUCAGACUAUGAAUAUUGAUUAAUCAUAAUUAAUAAUAGAAUACCAAUUGAAAUGUGUAAGUAUUUGGGAUAUUUUUCUACAUUUUCAAAUAUGGCAUAUUGAUUUCAUUUACAACACAGAAUACAUAGUGUACAGUGCUCACUUUAUAUUACUAUUUUUAUUACAAGUAUUUGCACUGUGAAAAUGAUAAAAGAGUAUUGUUCAAUUCACCUUAUACAAGUACUUUAGUGCAAUCUCUUUAUUAUAAAAGUGCAACUUACAAAUGUAGAUUUGUUUUGUUAUAAAACUGCACUCAAAACCAAAAUAUAAAAUAUUAAAGCCUACAGGUCUACUCAAUCCUACCUCUUGUUCAGCUAAUCACUAAGACAAACAAGUGUGUUUAUAUGUACUGAAGAUAGUGCUGCCUGCUUCUUAUUUAUAAUGUCACAUGAAAGUCAGAAUAGGCAUUCGUAGGCACUUGGUACGAAGUAUUGCCAGGCAUUUAUGUGCCAAAUAUGCUAAACAUUCAUACUUCAGCCACCCUUCAUGCUUCAGCCACCAUUUCAGAGGUCAUGCUUCCAUGCUGAUGAUGUUCAUUAAAAAAUAAUGUGUUAAUUAAAUUUGUGACUAAGUUAUAACAUGUAUAUAGCAUGGAUGUAUGGAGCAUGUUUUCAUGAGUCUUAAAAGCACAACAUGCUAAUGCAGAAACUACAGAACCCAAACCACCACCAAGGAAAAAAAUCAACCUUCUGUUGGUGCCAACUGAUUCAGAUUAUGAAAAUGAAUAUACACUACUUUGGAUCUUUAUCAAGUGGAAUCGAUCAUUAGCAUGGACACAUGUCCUCUAGAGUAGUCAUUGACUCAUGAAGGGAAACAUGAAUCUUUAGCACAUCUGGCACGUUUGUAUUUUAUGACGCUGGCUACCACAAUGCUGUGCUUUUGUCACUUUCAGGUGACAUUGUAUAUAAGAAGCGGGCAGCAUCAUCUCCUGCAAAUAUAAAUAAACUUGUUUAUUUUAGAAUUGGCUGAAUAAAAUAUAGGAUUGAGUGGACUUGUAGGCUCUACGUUGUUUUAUUUUUGAAUGCAGUCAUA